rnacentral:rRNA from 1 species
UACAUGGGGUGCAAACGUUUGCUCGGAAUUAUUGGGCGUAAAGCGCACGUAGGCGGUUCGUUAAGUCGGAUGUGAAAGCCCUCGGCUCAACUGAGGAAGUGCACCCGAAACUGGCGAGCUUGAGUCCGGAAGAGGUGAGUGGAACUCCUAGUGUAGAGGUGGAAUUCGUAGAUAUUAGGAAGAACACCAGUGGCGAAGGCGGCUCACUGGUCCGGUACUGACGCUGAGGUGCGAAAAGCGUGGGGGAGCAAACA